rnacentral:rRNA from 1 species
UACAGAGGUCUCGAGCGUUGUUCGGAUUCAUUGGGCGUAAAGGGUGCGUAGGUGGCUAUGUAAGUCAGAUGUGAAAUCCCGGAGCUCAACUCUGGAACUGCAUUUGAUACUGCGUGGCUAGAGUACUGGAGAGGAGACUGGAAUUUACGGUGUAGCAGUGAAAUGCGUAGAUAUCGUAAGGAAGACCAGUGGCGAAGGCGAGUCUCUGGACAGUUACUGACACUGAGGCACGAAGGCUAGGGGAGCAAACGGG